rnacentral:rRNA from 1 species
GAUGAACGCUAGCGGCAGGCCUAACACAUGCCAGUCGGGGGAGGAGCCUUCGGGCUUCGACCGGCGUACGGGUGCGUAACGCGUAUACAAUCUGCCUUUCACAUAGGGAUAGCCCGAAGAAAUUUGGAUUAAUACCUAAUGGUAUAUAGAUGUGGCAUCACCUUUAUAUUAAAGCUGAGGCGGUGAAAGAUGAGUAUGCGUUCUAUUAGCUAGUUGGAGAGGUAACGGCUCCCCAAGGCGACGAUAGAUAGGGGUUCUGAGAGGGAUAUCCCCCACACUGGUACUGAGAUACGGACCAGACUCCUACGGGAGGCAGCAGUGAGGAAUAUUGGACAAUGGUCGGAAGACUGAUCCAGCCAUGCCGCGUGCAGGAAGACGGCCUUAUGGGUUGUAAACUGCUUUUGCAGGGGAAGAAUAAGGACUACGCGUAGUUUGAUGACGGCACUCUGCGAAUAAGCAUCGGCUAACUCCGUG